ACGAACGCUGGCGGCGUGCCUAAUACAUGCAAGUAGAACGAUAAAGGAGGAGGUUGGUUCUGUGGAUGAUUUGGGAAAAGGGGAGAAACGCACGUGUGACCCGCCCGGAUCCGAGGGAUAACUAUUGGAAACAAUGGCUAAUACCGCACAAAAGUCUAUGUUGCACGACAUUUACUUAAAAAGAGCAGUUGCAUCUCCACCAGAUGGACCUGCGUUGUAUUAACUAGCUGGUGGGGUAACGGCUCACCAAGGCGACUAUACAUGCCCGACCUGAGAGGGUGAUCGAUCGGCCUGGGACUGAGACACGGCCCAGACUCCUACGGGAGGCGGCAGCAGGGAAUCUUCUUCAAUGGACGGAAGUCUGACCGAGGAGCGCCGCGUGAGUGGUGAAGGUUUUCUUAUCGUCAAGCUCUUUUGUUGAGAAGAACGACUGUGGGAGUGGAAAGUUUUACUGUGUGGCUGCUCUGACGAUGGGCGGGUAUUUACUUGUGUCAUCCCCGUGGUUAGUAUACCCGAGCGUGUUCCCAGAAUAGUGGGCAUAAGCCGCGGGCGGUUGAUAUUUGUAGAUAAAACUGCGGUGAUCAUCGUACACUUUGUAACUGUGGUAUUCUUGCUUGUGGGAAAGGUGUCCUCCGUUUGGGCGAGGAUAGAUUAUGGUGGGCACCGCGUGAUGCCGCCUCUUUGGGCUUGAUGUUAGUCUCGUCUCGGGUGGGUUUAAUAUGGUACUUUUUGUU
rnacentral:rRNA from 1 species